rnacentral:rRNA from 1 species
UACAGAGGUCCCAAGCGUUGUUCGGAUUCACUGGGCGUAAAGGGUGCGUAGGCGGCCGGGUAAGUCUGAUGUGAAAUCUCACAGCUUAACUGUGAAACUGCAUUGGAUACUAUCCGGCUCGAGGAAUGGAGAGGAGACUGGAAUACUUGGUGUAGCAGUGAAAUGCGUAGAUAUCAAGUGGAACACCAGUGGCGAAGGCGAGUCUCUGGACAUUUCCUGACGCUGAGGCACGAAAGCCAGGGGAGCAAACGGG